rnacentral:lncRNA from 1 species
CUGAAAUGGACUAACUGAGCACUCCGUCCGUCAAUUGUGCAUCUUAGGACCUGAGCCUAGCUCAGUUGGGUUGGGAUUGUGGAUGUACUCGUAAGUGGUUAUGGGUAAACCGACAUGCAGAAGAGCUCUAACAACAAGCACAAAGUUUGCAUUAUUACGACAUGAAAUUUGAUGUAUUAAAAACACGAUACAAAAGGUAAAUGAAACGAUGACACACCCUGAAAAUCAAGAAUUGCAACUUUUAGCUACUGUAAUGGUAAUAGUUGGCAAAUCUGGUGUUCAGAAUUUUGGUCUGCAGUGGUUGACUUGUUAGUGUGCAGAGAAGAAACAAUGACUCACUCACAGGUGCCAGUUUUGUUGCUCAUAUAAUGAGCAUAUUGUUGUAUGUGUCAGCUUCCAACUGAAAGGAGUAAAACCCUGGGUUAAUUCCUGCAGGUUCCAAAAACUACGAAUGAUAAAUAAAGUACAGUGAAAACAAAUUGCAUACUGCUAGAUGAGCUUCCCUGAGAUGUACACUUGAAGAGGAUUAAUAAUAAAGCUGAAACUAGUAAUAGUAGUGUCUAUCAAGAAAAAUAAGGGAGCCAGUAGCAUACAUGCAGAAACUAGGGAAAGUAAAUACCUGCAAACUACAGAAGCAGUAGCUAUAGCAACUGUUUGAUGGAUUGGACAAAAAACAAUUAUCCAUGCUUAAGUUGUGUAAUUGCUUGCGGUACUAUUCUGUAAUACAAAGCAGAAUCUGCUUCAUAACAUAUCCUUUCAUGAGAUCAGAGUGACAAACAAUUUAUCGUGUGCUACCAAAACUAAUAUUUCGGAGCCAUCAAGAGGAAACCAUACAUAUAAAAUAUGUGCAAGAUAAAUAAUCCUAAUUGGAACCAGUUAACUAGUUAUCACCUAUUCUGCUCUCCUACACGCUAUUAAUAUAUGUGAGUGGCAACAUGUGGACUGAAGCUUCACUUUUCAGACGAGUGCAACUUAGAGGCUUCUUCAUCUUCUGUUAUUCCUUUUAUGUAGGAUCUUCAACUAAAGUUUUCCUUCAUAUGCAAUUUUACAGCUAU